rnacentral:rRNA from 1 species
AGCUCUUGACAUCAUGGUCGCGAUUAGGGGAGACCCUUUUCUUCAGUUCGGCUGGACCAAUGACAGAUGCUGCAUGGCUGUCGUCAGCUCGUGUCGUGAGAUGUUGGGUUAAGUCCCGCAACGAGCGCAACCCUCAUUUUCAGUUGCCAUCAGGUUAUGCUGGGCACUCUGGAGAAACUGCCGGUGACAAGCCGGAGGAAGGUGGGGACGACGUCAAGUCAUCAUGGCUCUUACGAGCUGGGCUACACACGUGCUACAAUGGCCGGUACAGAGGGCUGCAAGCCUGCGAAGGUAAGCUAAUCUCACAAAACCGGUCGUAGUCCGGAUUGGAGUCUGCAACUCGACUCCAUGAAGUCGGAAUCGCUAGUAAUCGUGGAUCAGAAUGCCACGGUGAAUACGUUAACCGGGCACU